rnacentral:rRNA from 1 species
UCUAGUAACUAAUAUUAACGGGUCGCCCACUGAAGCUAAGCAGGGCUGAGCCUGGUCAGUACCUGGAUGGGAGACCUCCUGGGAAACCUAGGUUGCUGCUGGAA